rnacentral:misc_RNA from 1 species
AAUUCUCAACUAUUAUUAGCUUUUGCUACUAAUGGCUUGGAUAUGGGGGUUCUUUGCUGGCUUUGUUAAAAGGUCUGCUCCCCUUAAAUUUAUUAGCUGGUGCCCCGCGUGGACUGUCUAUUGGUGUGAUAAUUAUCUACGCCGUGGAUUUCUGCUUUAAUGGGUUGUGCUGCUUAUAACUGUCUUUUUUAUUAAGACAAUAUAUGACA